ACGAACGCUGGCGGCGUGCUUAACACAUGCAAGUCGAACGGAAAGGCCCUGCUUUUGUGGGGUGCUCGAGUGGCGAACGGGUGAGUAACACGUGAGUAACCUGCCCUUGACUUUGGGAUAACUUCAGGAAACUGGGGCUAAUACCGGAUAGGAGCUCCUGCUGCAUGGUGGGGGUUGGAAAGUUUCGGCGGUUGGGGAUGGACUCGCGGCUUAUCAGCUUGUUGGUGGGGUAGUGGCUACCAAGGCUUUGACGGGUAGCCGGCCUGAGAGGGUGACCGGCCACAUUGGGACUGAGAUACGGCCCAGACUCCUACGGGAGGCAGCAGUGGGGAAUAUUGCACAAUGGGCGGAAGCCUGAUGCAGCAACGCCGCGUGCGGGAUGACGGCCUUCGGGUUGUAAACCGCUUUCGCCUGUGACGAAGCGUGAGUGACGGUAAUGGGUAAAGAAGCACCGGCUAACUACGUG
rnacentral:rRNA from 1 species